rnacentral:rRNA from 1 species
UACAGAGGUGGCAAGCGUUGUUCGGAAUUACUGGGCGUAAAGGGCGCGUAGGCGGCCAUCUAAGUCAGACGUGAAACCCCCCGGCUUAACCUGGGAACUGCGUCUGAUACUGGGAGGCUUGAGUAUGGGAGAGGGAUGUAGAAUUCCAGGUGUAGCGGUGAAAUGCGUAGAUAUCUGGAGGAAUACCGGUGGCGAAGGCGGCAUCCUGGACCAUAACUGACGCUGAGGCGCGAAAGCUAGGGGAGCAAACGGG